rnacentral:lncRNA from 1 species
UCUGCGAUGCAGAAAGGGGUGCGGGUUGCAAAGGGAGUAGCCUCUGUUUUUUUGUUACUUAAGCAUGGGAAGUUGGAGUUUUCCUUUUGAUUCAUUUCUAGGAAGUCGGUGCAAACUGGCCCUGCCUCCAGACCCUAUUCUCCAGCAUGAAUUGCAUCUCAUCAAUGUCAUUUUCACUUUUGAUGAUGAAGGCUGAUUACCUUGUAGAGAGAGAAGUCAUAGGGAUGUUAUGUCCAUGGAGCGUGGCCUUAAGUGGACCUAUUUCUUGGGGUCUCCAGAUCUGUUUGGAACUUCAAAAUUAUUCAAGAAAAGGUGUCUCAUCAGCAGAAGACUGAACAGUUUUACCUAAUGGUAUCUUGAGUAGAAAUGUAACCUAGAAGAGUUUAUUGAAAAUCCUCCUGGCUGAUGCUUAUUUCUUGGAAUCCUGAGUCUUACACUUGCUACCUAAUAAAAAGAAGGAAGAUUCUUCUCAGCAAGGUGAGAAAACAGGCUGAGAGAAGUUGGAAGAAACACAGGAGCAGGGAUCCCACAUUAGACAGUCUGAUUCCAGAGAUCAGGACCUUGGCUGCAACACUAUAUGGGCUCUGGGAAAUCCAAGAGGCCUGUUUUCACCUGCACAGCAUUUCUACCUGCCCAUGAAAGGCAGACUUACGCACUUUGAUGUCAAAGACCAACCAGAAAGGUAACUUUAGAGAUGCUCACCCGAACGCCCCCUGUGCACUGCCUCUCUUCAAUGAUCCUGACCUCAUCGUACCUUUUGGGAGUGGCUCUGAGUCUGUGUUUCCACCACUGACUCCUUUGAAGAAGAUCGUCAGCCUUGGGUCUGGAAUGUAGCCCAUUAAUGUUCCCCUUGACCUUUGGUGGAAACGCUGCCAUUUCCUGUCCUGGUUCCUCAUCUUCUCUCAUGUGCCUAAACACUGACCCCAAGUGGGAGAGAAGAUACAGUCAAGUUCUUCGCCUUGACACUGUUCUCUGCAAAGUCAAAGUCACUUUCAGUCUUGAUUUUAACCAGAGCUUAUUUCCUCCCACCAGUGUUGGGAUGAAAGUCAAAGAUGAAGUGAAAGACAGAUUGUGUAACUUUUAUUUUUAAAAGAGUGUUUAAUUUUGGAAGGUAUGAUUAAUAUUUCAAUACUGCUUCUAAUGGCUUCAUUUAUUUUUUUUUCAGCCAAUAAGAAGUGAGAAAUCCUGUCUCCGUAGCCAAAAUCUCAUAUAAUUCCUCCCCAGCAAUACAGAAGUCUCUCUGUUGCUACCUAGAGUAAAAAUGUCAAUACACAUCAUGUAUUAAAAUUCACCUGUAUUUUCUCAACACCUUUUCGAUAUCUUUCCAAAUUGCUUUAGUAAUCUCUGGCAUCAAGAACUGGUAAGAGUAUGUGGCAUUUUCCUUCCUGUUUGAGUAACACCUAUUAAGAGAGGUGGCAAUUAAAAUCAAAUUGUAAUUUUUAAACCUUAAGGGAAGCUAUUGCAGUAUUGCUAAGAACAUUCAGUUACCGGUAUGUUAGCUAACACCUACACCCGCUGCGAUUAGCGAUGAAACAAACUUCUACGGACCUUAAAAAACCAAACGUCUCCUUUAAAAUAAUCAUCCUAUGAGUAAACAGUCCUGUUCACACAUGUAUAUGAGAUGUCAUCCUUUCUUUGCCGUUACAGCGCUCCGCCUUGCCAAUGCUGCUGAGCACUGACUCACUCACAGGGCAUUUGGAAGGUGGGCGAUUUGUUCCUGCAGCAUCAUUGCACUCCAAAUGUGCUGAGAAUGGAUGUAGCCUCCAAUGCUGCCGUGCCAGCAGCAGCUUAGAUCAGAGGGAUCAGCAGAGGCUAUUGUCCAUUCCUCAGCAAUGCACUUGACCUUGAGAGCUAUAUAGAAUGGAAGGAAACCCACUAAAGCCAAAUUCAUGUCCUAAGAUUUAUAUCCUUUUUAGGGAUCCCACCCCUGGAACGUAAUUCAGGUCCAAAUCCUCUUCUUCUCCUUUCCAACUGCCACUGCCUUAGAGUAGUGGACUUAUCUCCACCUGCACAUUUUAGAGUCACUUGGGGCAAGGCAGGGGGCAGACGUUAAAACAUACCAGUGUCAAGGUACCAUCCCAGAGACUCUAAAUUAAUUAGUCUGUGUUGUGCCUGAAAUGAGUACUUUUUAAUACCUCCCUAGGUAUUUCUAAAGUACAGCUAGGACUGGAAACCACUGGAGUCCAGCACAAGCCUUUCUCAUUUCUUUCCUGGUUUAUGGCAAAUGCCUCCUGAAUGCCCUUCAUCUUUUGUGCCUGAGGCUAAUCACCUUUAAUGUGUUAUAAUGAUUGAAUUAUUUUUGUAUUAAUCCAUGUUUGAUGUAGAAAAAUGAGAAAA